AUUGAACGCUGGCGGCAGGCUUAACACAUGCAAGUCGAGCGGGGGAAGGUAGCUUGCUACCGGACCUAGCGGCGGACGGGUGAGUAAUGCUUAGGAAUCUGCCUAUUAGUGGGGGACAACAUCUCGAAAGGGAUGCUAAUACCGCAUACGUCCUACGGGAGAAAGCAGGGGAUCUUCGGACCUUGCGCUAAUAGAUGAGCCUAAGUCGGAUUAGCUAGUUGUUGGGGUAAAGGCCUACCAAGGCGACGAUCUGUAGCGGAUCUGAGAGGAUGAGCCACAACACUGGGAAUGAGACACGGCCCAGACUCCUACGGGAGGCAGCAGUGGGUCAUAUUGGACAAUGGGGGGAAACCUGAUCCAGCCAUGCCGCGUGUGUGAAGAAGGCCUUAUGGUUGUAAAGCACUUUAAGCGAGGAGGAGGCUACUUUAGUUAAUACCUAGAGAUAGUGGACGUUACUCGCAGAAUAAGCACCGGCUAACUCUGUGCAAGCAGCCGCCGUAA
rnacentral:rRNA from 1 species